rnacentral:rRNA from 1 species
GAUGAACGCUGGCGGCGUGCCUAAUACAUGCAAGUCGAGCGAACGGACGAGAAGCUUGCUUCUCUGAUGUUAGCGGCGGACGGGUGAGUAACACGUGGAUAACCUACCUAUAAGACUGGGAUAACUUCGGGAAACCGGAGCUAAUACCGGAUAAUAUUUUGAACCGCAUGGUUCAAAAGUGAAAGACGGUCUUGCUGUCACUUAUAGAUGGAUCCGCGCUGCAUUAGCUAGUUGGUAAGGUAACGGCUUACCAAGGCAACGAUGCAUAGCCGACCUGAGAGGGUGAUCGGCCACACUGGAACUGAGACACGGUCCAGACUCCUACGGGAGGCAGCAGUAGGGAAUCUUCCGCAAUGGGCGAAAGCCUGACGGAGCAACGCCGCGUGAGUGAUGAAGGUCUUCGGAUCGUAAAACUCUGUUAUUAGGGAAGAACAUAUGUGUAAGUAACUGUGCACAUCUUGACGGUACCUAAUCAGAAAGCCACGGCUAACUACGUGCCAGCAGCCGCGGUAAUACGUAGGUGGCAAGCGUUAUCCGGAAUUAUUGGGCGUAAAGCGCGCGUAGGCGGUUUUUUAAGUCUGAUGUGAAAGCCCACGGCUCAACCGUGGAGGGUCAUUGGAAACUGGAAAACUUGAGUGCAGAAGAGGAAAGUGGAAUUCCAUGUGUAGCGGUGAAAUGCGCAGAGAUAUGGAGGAACACCAGUGGCGAAGGCGACUUUCUGGUCUGUAACUGACGCUGAUGUGCGAAAGCGUGGGGAUCAUACAGGAUUAGAUACCCUGGUAGUCCACGCCGUAAACGAUGAGUGCUAAGUGUUAGGGGGUUUCCGCCCCUUAGUGCUGCAGCUAACGCAUUAAGCACUCCGCCUGGGGAGUACGACCGCAAGGUUGAAACUCAAAGGAAUUGACGGGGACCCGCACAAGCGGUGGAGCAUGUGGUUUAAUUCGAAGCAACGCGAAGAACCUUACCAAAUCUUGACAUCCUUUGACAACUCUAGAGAUAGAGCCUUCCCCUUCGGGGGGGCAAAGUGACAGGUGGUGCAUGGUUGUCGUCAGCUCGUGUCGUGAGAUGUUGGGUUAAGUCCCGCAACGAGCGCAACCCUUAAGCUUAGUUGCCAUCAUUAAGUUGGGCACUCUAAGUUGACUGCCGGUGACAAACCGGAGGAAGGUGGGGAUGACGUCAAAUCAUCAUGCCCCUUAUGAUUUGGGCUACACACGUGCUACAAUGGACAAUACAAAGGGCAGCGAAACCGCGAGGUCAAGCAAAUCCCAUAAAGUUGUUCUCAGUUCGGAUUGUAGUCUGCAACUCGACUAUAUGAAGCUGGAAUCGCUAGUAAUCGUAGAUCAGCAUGCUACGGUGAAUACGUUCCCGGGUCU